rnacentral:rRNA from 1 species
GUAGGUGGCAAGCGUUGUCCGGGAAUUAUUGGGGCGUAAAGCGCGCGCAGGCGGUUCUUUAAGUCUGAUGUGAAAGCCCACGGGCUCAACCGUGGAGGGUCAUUGGAAACUGGAGAACUUGAGUACAGAAGAGGAAAGCGGAAUUCCACGUGUAGCGGUGAAAUGCGUAGAGAUGUGGAGGAACACCAGUGGCGAAGGCGGCUUUCUGGUCUGUAACUGACGCUGAGGCGCGAAAGCGUGGGGAGCAAACAGGAUUAGAUACCCUGGUAGUCCACGCCGUAAACGAUGAGUGCUAAGUGUUAGGGGGUUUCCGCCCCUUAGUGCUGCAGCUAACGCAUUAAGCACUCCGCCUGGGGAGUAUGGCCGCAAGGCUG